UGGGGAAUUUUGGACAAUGGGGGCAACCCUGAUCCAGCAAUGCCGCGUGUGUGAAGAAGGCCUUCGGGUUGUAAAGCACUUUUGUCCGGGAAGAAAUCGCACCUGAUAAUACCGGGUGUGGAUGACGGUACCGGAAGAAUAAGGACCGGCUAACUACGUGCCAGCAGCCGCGGUAAUACGUAGGGUCCAAGCGUUAAUCGGAAUUACUGGGCGUAAAGCGUGCGCAGGCGGUUGUGCAAGACCGAUGUGAAAUCCCCGGGCUUAACCUGGGAAUUGCAAUGGUGACUGCACGGCUAGAGUGUGUCAGAGGGGGGUAGAAUUCCACGUGUAGCAGUGAAAUGCGUAGAGAUGUGGAGGAAUACCGAUGGCGAAGGCAGCCCCCUGGGAUAACACUGACGCUCAUGCACGAAAGCGUGGGGAGCAAACAGG
rnacentral:rRNA from 1 species